CGGAAGGAUCAUUAUUGAGAGGAAGGUUUCCACGCCUUCGCGGUGCAUCUGCGCCCGACUCUUCACCCUCGUGUGUACCGACCAUCGUUGCUUUGGCGGGUAUGAAGGCUUGAUUCGCCCUCUAUUGAAUCCCGCCGAAGACCCUUUUUCAACCCCUCAUGUCGGUGCAGUCUGAGUCUUCUAAGCAAUCAAAUAAAAAACUUUCAACAACGGAUCUCUUGGUUCUGGCAUCGAUGAAGAACGCAGCGAAAUGCGAUAAGUAAUGUGAAUUGCAGAAUUCAGUGAAUCAUCGAAUCUUUGAACGCCCAUUGCGCCCCUUGGUAUUCCGAGGGGCAUGCCUGUUCGAGCGUCAUUGCAACCCUCAAGCUCAGCUUGGUAUUGAGUCAUGCGACGCCCUGUAGAGGGGCUCGCAGACUCGGAAAUUAGUGGCAGUCCAGGUAGACUUCAAGCGCAGUAACUCCCUCGCUUUGGAAGCGUCUUAUCCGGGACUUCGCCGAGAAACCCCCUAUAUAUACUCAAUGAUUGACCUCGGAUCAGSCAGGSAYACCCGCUGAACU
rnacentral:rRNA from 1 species